rnacentral:rRNA from 1 species
GUAGCGCGGUGGUCCCACCUGACCCCAUGCCGAACUCAGAAGUGAAACGCCGUAGCGCCGAUGGUAGUGUGGGGUCUCCCCAUGUGAGAGUAGGGAACU